rnacentral:rRNA from 1 species
CCCUUAGAUGUUCUGGGCCGCACGCGCGCUACACUGACGAAUGCAACGAGCUUAUAACCUUGGCCGAAAGGUCUGGGUAAUCUCCAAAUUUCGUCGUGAUGGGGAUAGAUUAUUGCAAUUAUUAAUCUUCAACGAGGAAUGCCUAGUAAGCGCAAGUCAUCAGCUUGCGUUGAUUACGUCCCUCCCCUUUGUACACACCGCCCGUCGCUCCUACCGAUUGAAUGGUCCGGUGAAGCGCUCGGACCGCGGCCUCUUGACGGUUCGCUGUCGAUUGGCUGUGGGAAGUUCGUUAAACCUUAUCAUUUAGAGGAAGGAGAAGUCGUAACA